rnacentral:rRNA from 1 species
AUUGAACGCUGGCGGCAGGCCUAACACAUGCAAGUCGAACGGUAACAGGAAGCAGCUUGCUGCUUUGCUGACGAGUGGCGGACGGGUGAGUAAUGUCUGGGAAACUGCCCGAUGGAGGGGGAUAACUACUGGAAACGGUAGCUAAUACCGCAUAACGUCGCAAGACCAAAGAGGGGGACCUUCGGGCCUCUUGCCAUCGGAUGUGCCCAGAUGGGAUUAGCUUGUUGGUGAGGUAACGGCUCACCAAGGCGACGAUCCCUAGCUGGUCUGAGAGGAAGACCAGCCACACUGGAACUGGGACACGGUCCAGACUCCUACGGGAGGCAGCAGUGGGGAAUAUUGCACAAUGGGCGCAAGCCUGAUGCAGCCAUGCCGCGUGUAUGAAGAAGGCCUUCGGGUUGUAAAGUACUUUCAGCGGGGAGGAAGGGGAUGUGGUUAAUAACCGCGUUCAUUGACGUUACCCGCAGAAGAAGCACCGGCUAACUCCGUGCCAGCCGCGGCCGCUGUAA